CGAUGUCGGCUCUUCCUAUCCUUGCGAAAUAGAACUCGCCAAUUGUUGGAUUGUUCAACCACUAAUAGGCAACGUGAGGUGAGUUUAGACCGUUGUGAGACAGGUU
rnacentral:ncRNA from 1 species